GUGCUGGGCGGGCACGGCUCGGAACGGCACGGCUCGGAACGGCACGGCACGCGGCCUCCCGGGACGCAGCGUUUCUGCCAGGUGUUGGUCUGACACACAGUGUGUGCCGUGUUAAUUGGUUUCCUGGGGAGCUUGUGUGAGCCGGGGCCUCGUUAUGCAAGGCCUCUUCCAGAGCAAAGCAGGAGGGAUAAGGCCAUCAAGAAGGAGGAAACAAGGGCCAGGGGACGUUCCCAGCUGGAGCAGAGAUGCCCCCGUGGGAAGUGCAGCUUCUUCCCUGCCCUGAGACCACGCCUGGCCAGGACAAACCAAAACACACACCCCAGGAUGGACAGUGGGAUGCAUUCCUUAGGAUUGCAGCUCUGGGAGCUGCAGCUGCUGCUAUGUGUUGCAUCCAUAACCACACAGGGUGAUGCAUUUCCCUUUAAGGCCAGGACGAAUGCAUCUUGCUGCUCUUAGGCACAACUUGGAGAAGAAUUAUUGCCUCCACAGGGACAAUUUUUGCCAAGCCAUGGCUUCAUCACCUUUCUCUUGUCUCCAGACCAGGCUGCUGCUUGCUGUUGGUUUCUCUGUGUUUGCUUCAACAAUUAUCUCCUGCUCCCCGCCACUCCUCCAGCCACUAGAGUUUCAUUGAUAUUUUCAGCAGCUGCAUUUGAUGACUGCCAAGUUUUACUCGCUGUUCCCAGCUCUCCAGUUUCCACAUGUUGUGUUCAGCUGCCAUCUCUCCCUGCACCUCUCACCGGGGUGAAGGGGAAGCCCAGGGCUGCCCACGGGUCCCAGCGAUGCCAGCAGCAAGAUAUCCCCAUGUUCCCCAGCUCUGGGGUCCUGCUGGUUCCCCAUUGCUGCCCCUGGACAUCCUCUGGGUUUGUCACUCAGGAUGGAUCCCGUGCCUCAGAAGUGCUGCUGUCUCUAUUUGGUGGCAAUGACCGCUGGAGCAGCAGAGAUGGUGACAGAGCUCCCCUCUGCUGUCCUGGAAGAGAGGCAGAGCAAUGAGACGGGAACACCAGGACAGUGCCAGCAGCCUGUUUAUGGGAACGGAACCGCCCCAGCGUGAAUUAUUCAUGGGCUCUUGCGAGCUCAUUCUCAAAAUAUCAAUUUCUCCCAGUCAUGCCAAGCAGCACUUAAGCCUGAAAGCCCUGUUAAAAUGAAAGGCCCAGGGAGCCAG
ensembl:lncRNA